rnacentral:tRNA from 1 species
AUUGAGGUGUCUGAAUAAAGGUGGUAAACUGUAAAUUUACUUAUGAAUAAUUAAUUCCCUUAAUA